rnacentral:rRNA from 1 species
GAUGAACGCUGGCGGCGUGCCUAAUACAUGCAAGUCGAGCGAACAGACGAGGAGCUUGCUCCUCUGACGUUAGCGGCGGACGGGUGAGUAACGCGUGGAUAACCUACCUAUAAGACUGGGAUAACUUCGGGAAACCGGAGCUAAUACCGGAUAAUAUAUUGAACCGCAUGGUUCAAUGGUGAAAGACGGUUUUGCUGUCACUUAUAGAUGGAUCCGCGCCGCAUUAGCUAGUUGGUAAGGUAACGGCUUACCAAGGCAACGAUGCGUAGCCGACCUGAGAGGGUGAUCGGCCACACUGGAACUGAGACACGGUCCAGACUCCUACGGGAGGCAGCAGUAGGGAAUCUUCCGCAAUGGGCGAAAGCCUGACGGAGCAACGCCGCGUGAGUGAUGAAGGUCUUCGGAUCGUAAAACUCUGUUAUUAGGGAAGAACAAAUGUGUAAGUAACUAUGCACGUCUUGACGGUACCUAAUCAGAAAGCCACGGCUAACUACGUG